UGUCGCUGAAGGUUAAGGGGACAAAAAUCAAUUCCCCUCUUCCUUUCUAUGUCUCUGAAGAGAGAAGCACGAAAUCUCUCAACUAUAAGCUGAGAGAAAUGCAGGAAUGUUGAAUGAAUUUCGGUAUGAGAAUGGCGGACGAGGUGGUUCUGCUGGAUACCUUUUUUCAGCAUGUUUGGGAUGAGGGUGAGGAUCGCGCCUAAGAAGAGAAUCAAGUACGAGUACAAAGAGGAGAACCGGAGGAACAAGAGCGAGCUGCUUCUCAAGAUGAGCCCGAUUCACGAGAAGAUCCCAGUUCUCAUCCACAACGGGAAGCCGGUCUGUGAGUCCCUCAUCAUCGUUUAGGGUUCGGGUUAGGAUUGGUGAUGGAAGGGAGGCGGAAAGUCGCUGAGCUGGCUGCUGUUGAUUUGAUGAUAACAGUCUUUUUUAUUGCUUCCUUCACCUUUCAAAUAUACGUUUUUGCUUCUGAUGUGGGUAAAUUGGUCCUCUCCCAGUUGCCGAAAAUAUAUAUUGGAAAAGUAAGUUGAAGUGACAUGGGAAUUACAAUUGGAGAAAUUCAGGAGGGAUGGCAUCACAGAUAUGGAAAGCACUGCAAAGCUUUCUUCUGAUCACGAGUUCAUUAUCCAGCUUGGAGUUGUCGCUUGAAGUUCACGAAGGACUAAGUCAUAGAUUUAAUAUUACUGGUUCAUGACGCACCAAAUGAAAAUGAAUAAAUUUAUGAUUUCAGAAUGAGGUUGGAAAGUGGUAUCACUUAUGUAAGAAUUUAAAUGUGCUCAUGUAAGGAUUUAGAUAUUAAAUUUUGCUAGAAAUGAUUUUUAUAUAUGACAUUGAGUUUUUAAUGUUAAAUAUUGCAUAGAUAUAUUUUUUACCAUCAAACACAGGGAAUCAAGCACGUGCCUUCCCACUAGUAGCGUUAAAAAUACA